rnacentral:rRNA from 1 species
UACAGAGGGUGCAAGCGUUGUUCGGAAUUACUGGGCAUAAAGCGCAUGUAGGCGGAUAGAGAAGUCGGGUGUGAAAUCCCUGGGCUUAACCCAGGAACUGCACUCGAAACCAUCUAUCUAGAGUUCGGUAGGGGAGCGGGGAAUUCCAGGUGUAGAGGUGAAAUUCGUAGAUAUCUGGAGGAACACCAGUGGCGAAGGCGCCGCUCUGGGCCGAUACUGACGCUGAGAUGCGAAAGCUUGGGUAGCAAACAGG